rnacentral:lncRNA from 1 species
UUUCAAGAACAGUUUCCAAAAAAAUAGAAAAUAAAAUAUACAUUGUAAAACAAAGUUAGAGAUUUAAUAAAAUCAUGUAUGCCGCCGCCACCACCACAACAUUCUCCACCGUCUCACCACUAUCACGACCAUCUUUGACACCACCACCUCCCACCACAAUUACCGCCACCGCCAUCACCCUUGUCGCCAUGGCCACCACCACAUCUACCAUCUCACAUUCAUCACAACUGACAAUACUACCACUUUUUCACCAUUACCACAUGCACCUCCGGUGCCAUGACUGCUACCACAACUAACAUUAACACCACCAUAUUAACCACCACCACCAUUGUCAUCACCACCUUCGUUGUGUCACCGCUACGACCACCACCACUGCCACCAACUUCUACCACCUUUGCCACCACCACCAUCACAUUCUCCACACCAUUACCCUCACUACUACCACCACUGCUACCACCACUCCAACCACCAUUGCUACCAACACUACUCUCGUCUCAACCACCAUCUCUAUCACCACCAUUACUAUGAAGUACAAUUUUUUUUUUCUGACAUUUUUGAUAUUGGUAAGACGUGUUUUCAUUCUAAAAAAUCAUUCUCGGAUUAAACUACCAAAUGCAUUCUCAAAUCAUAAAAAAUGCCAACAUUUUUGUUUUACAAAACCGUUCUUCACAAGUCAUUUUGCAAAAUGUUACCGACGAGCCCUAAUUUUUCUAUUCUUUUGGAAUAUGUUCUUUUUACAAAACGUUUCCAAAAUUUUGGAUUUAUUAUAAGAGAAAAUUGGAGCAAUGGUCCUUGAAUUUUGGACCAAUUGGAGCUAUGGUCCACAAACUAAAAAUUUAUGAGUCUUGAUCCCUCAACUUGCCAUAAUGUGGAGCAAUUAUCUUUUUGGGUAACCUAUUAAAAAUUCCAUCUAAAAUAAAGAUUUUAUUUUAUUUUAUUUUAGGGUAAAUUAUACAAAAUUACCUCAACUAUUGGGUCAAUCACAGUUUCAUACCUCAUCUUUAAAACAUUUCAACGUCAUACCUUAUCUUUGAAUUUAUUGCAAUGUCAUACCUUCUGUCAGUUUGUCUAUCAAUUCAUCCGUUAAAUGCUGACGUAGCUUGAGGUGGGGCCCACUUCCUAUUAAAAAAUUAAUUAAAUAUUAAAAACUAAGAAAUAAAAUCAUUUAGUAAUUUUUUUAAAUGGGGAACCCACACCUACAAACCCAUCACCCCUUCUUCCCAUCCACCUGUGUCCCCCCAACCUUCCUUCACCACCAAAACCAGAACCCCACCACCGCCCUCUCAUCCUCCAUCUCCACCUCCCUCCCAUGGCACUCCUCCCCCUCCCCCUCCUCCUACACACCCAUCACCCUCACCAAAUUAAUAUGUGUAACCAAUUUCAAACAAAAUACCUCAAUUCCAUCCAAACCUUAACCCUAAAUUUCAAAUUCUUAGCACUAAUCAUCCCUACAACAAUGUCCACAACACCACCACCGCUGUCUCCCACGGCUUUAGUCUCCACCACCACCGCCUUUGCCCACGAUCUCAGUC